ACAAAAUCAGUUGAGGCCGUAGCAGAAGUGCUCAUGACAUGGCCAUGUCAGAUUCCAAUAAAUCUGCAAAUUCUGCU
rnacentral:ribozyme from 1 species